AUAUCCAAUUGAAGAAUAGAAAGGACUCCCCUGACGCACCAUGGGAUUUAAGCAAAAACAAAAGACAAAAGACAGUGGAUACUGAACAACCAGAUUCCCGUUUGUAAAACCUUGGAUCCAUAGUUUCCUCUAAUCCCACAGAAGGUUUUCUCAGGCUCUGGCUGUCAGAGAGGAGAACUAUGAACUCACCUACUCAUUCAUGCUGCCCAGGACCAGAUGCACAAAGAACAAUUCGGGAUCCUCUUCUUCCCGGAGAACUCCGCGCAGGCAGGCUUGGAGAGGGAAUGAAUUGAUCUGGCAUCGUGA
rnacentral:lncRNA from 10 species